AGAUUGAACUGGCAAUUCUGCGGUUUCCGUACGAUUCCUGGGGGACGCCGUUCCAGCAGCUCAAACAGGUGGUGGAAGAGCCAUCUCCACAGCUCCCGGCGGACAAGUUCUCAGCUGAGUUUGUUGAUUUUACCUCACUGUGCUUGAAGAAGAAUUCCAAAGAAAGGCCAACAUAUCCUGAGCUAAUGCAACACCAUUUCUUCACCCUGCACGAAUCCAAAGAGACAGAUGUGGCUUCUUUUGUCAAGCUCAUCCUGGGAAAUUGAGAAAUGGACUUGUACAUGAUUUUUCCCUUCUGUGGACUGGUGGGUUUAGGAGGAAGGGUGCGUGGUGGGAUGCCACAUCACAUGAGAAAACCAGUAGGGCAGCCUGCCACUGGUCACUUUGUCAGGGGCGUGUGUGUAAAACCUUAGCCCUCUCCGUAUGAAGGCUUUUUAAAGGGUUCUUUGGUAUCCAUAGUGACAUAGAAUGAACUGGUUAGUGAAAUGAAUUUUAAUAAGGUUGUCAACCAUAAAAAAGUACAAAAACAUUUAAUGAGUGAUUUAAAUAAUGACAGUCAAGAGUUCUCUAACAGUCUUCUCUGCUCCCCCAUUUCUUGUUCCCUGUCAAUCCUAAUUUGCUUUUGUUUCUGGUAAUAGGUGCUACGGUAGUUAUGAAGUUCUAUGUAGAGUUAUAUUUUUCCCUUACCAUUAUUUUAAUAUUUAUGUUAAGUGCUUGAUUUUAAUAGACUCUUUUGUUUUGUUUUUAUGUGAGAGUUGAGUGUGGAUGGUAAUAACAGCUAUAACAGCUGAAGCUACAAAGAUGAGUAUUUAUAGGACUUUGCUGGGAGGAGGAGGGGGAGGUGGUGUGGGCCAUAUAGAUAUAUAGGAGGUGGAAGACUAAUUUAAAUUCAAGAAAGAGUUUGGCUUACAUGUCAGCCCAGUGAUACCUGAGGUGGUGUGCAUAAUCUUUAGGAGAUGGUCUUAUUUUUAACAGCACAUCGAGAGGAUGCAAAUAUCCAGUAAUUUGUGGUGAUUUAUGAUCCUGCUGGUUUGUUUUAUAUUUGUAGUCUUCAAUGAAUAAAAAUUUCCAGAAGGGUGAGAUCCCUUCAGGGGAUCUGGGAUUAUCAGUGGAAAUACAUACAGUGUAUUGGAAAUCAAGAGCAACAUACAGUAAUCAUUUGACCACUGGCUAAGUAAUCACCCCAUGAUCUACAAUCAAGCAGAUGUCCUCUCUAUUUUGUAUGUAAGCCAUGGAUCAUUCCUUUUAGAUGACUGGGAAGGAGAAUGGAAGAAAGAGAGAUGGCAUGAGGAUUAAAAAAAAAUCAGCAUGGGGGCAUUAUCGAGUACCAGGGGCGUAUCACUUUUAUGUUGCUAAUUUUAUGUUGGCAAGAGUAACCGAAGCUUGUCUUGGAAAGUUCAGGUUCACAGAUAAUACCCAUAUUUGUCUCCCUCCCAGCCCCACUACUAAUUUUCUUUCUGGAGGAGGGCCUGUGUGUCUCUGGCACUGGUUUAAAGGGUCUCCACCUGAAAAGCCAAGGAGAAGCAAAUGAAUAGGAGCUACGCAAUAUGUGCUACAUUUGUUAUCUCUCUCUGUCUCUCUCUCUCUCUUUUAAAGAAACACAGCUCCAGCACGUACUUUUGCCUUAAGCUCCCCUUGGUUGCAGCCAUGUUGUGACGAUGGUAGCUUGCCUUGAUCUCUUGCUUUGCUACACACCCCUGUUUGUUUAGGACAUAGAGCAAGACCAGAGUCCUGCUUGAUGGAAGUGAGUGCAUUUGUGCAAGAGCUGCUUUUGCUUGGGAAAUGUUUCUGUUUCCUAAUAAUUAUGAAAUAUGGCAAUACGUAUUUGUCACACAAUGGUAAGGUUGGUGUCGAUGAUGAAGGAAAAUGUUGGUAUUCCUGCUAGUACAUGAAGCCCCAUAUGCACUGUCCAUCCUCCAGUACAGGACAAUACAGCAAUGUGAAGUAACUUUUGUUCCAAAGCAUUAGUAUUAACCAUGCAGGUUUUGUCAGAGAAGGGCCAUCCUGUUUUCCUGCAGCUCACAUUUUACUACAUAACCGGUCUUUGCGCGUAUGUCCACUGGAAAGCAACCAGGAGACAUUUAACUGCAGACAAAACACUAAAUGGGCUCAGAUUUCAAUGCAGUCUUAAAGGCCUAGAAUGGCUUGUAACCUGCCCCUAGUUUUCCAUUUUAUGAGCAUGGUUCCUCCCUCAACACCACCCCCCCGCAUUGGUUCCGAGCGGCUUUGAUUGAUUGUCUUCAGCUGCAGCUAACACACAGCCAGACGGUUAUUAGAACUAGUUCCAGCAUCAAUUCUCACUUUGAAAAACAUGACAUUUAAAACCCGCUUUUUGGUUUUCCUACAUAUGGAUCCGAUGCUUGCUGUAGAGAUUGUUUUUGCUCUUUUUUCUUUUGGAAUAGUGAGACUCAUUUGGACACCACAUCCUCUUGACCUCAGAACACCUUUAUUUGAGUGCUGUGGUAACAAACAGGGUGGAUUUAUGAGAUAGGAUCAGUGUUAAUAGCAGAUAUUAAUGCUCCCAUUGGUUUCCAAUAGUAGGAUAAUGCCAGUGCUGUCUGCAGUAUGUCAGUCUAGAAAGAUUAUUGCUCUGUGAAUCAACACUACAUGCUUCAAGCUUUUUUUCAGGAAUUAAAAUGUGGAUUCUGAGUUCCUUAAUCACUCAGUUCCUCUUGAGUUCUUUUGUCAACUCUGUCUUAGUAUAUUUCAUCUGGGCAGGUGCAAGACCCUCAUAGAAUGCUAGAAUACAGCACAGCCAAGCUAUUUGACCCUUCUAAUCAAAACUUAAAACAUGUGUUUUUGUUACGUUAAAGGCUGCAUACUGUGAUAGUGAACAGCAUUUCUGUGGUGUUUUUCAGUACUUAAGGUGCCAUCCCAAUUCUUAUUCUAAAGGAUGUCCAGUAAAAGGGGGAGAGGAAAUACUGUUUGCGUAGUCCACAGGUAGCACAGCGAAAAUCAUGGUGUUAAAUUACAGCAGCCUUUCCCAGACUGGCACCUCCAGAUGUUUUGGGCUUUAGAGCCCACCAGCCAGGUUGGGGAAGUCUGGAUUACAGAAAUGAAGAGUCAGGUUUACACAUUAGAAUUGUGUUGAUAUAAACAUACACAGAAGCACACAUGCACACAUAUGCAUACAUAUACACAUACUGUUCUGCAAUGAAACACACUGCCCAAGGAAACUAAAUCUGCAUUCCAGGAAGCAGAAUCUUGCUAGGCAUCCACUGGAUAGAGUUGUAUUUUAUAUAGAAUAAGAUGCCUCUUGGCAGGGAAGAUUUGACACAAGCAGUCAUUGGCUUCGUUCUCCAGUAUUCCACUUUGAUCCUAUAAACAAAGUGGAGGUUGAAAGAAUGUUUGCUGCAGGACCUUAGGUGUUUGAAAUUGAUCGUAGUUAAGCUCAACCUGAGGAUGCAGCUGGGACUACUCUAGUGAGAUUUAACUGUUCUGGUAGGCAUGGUGGAAAAAUGAAUGGAGAUGCUGGGAGUACAUUCAGUAUAUCCUUUAAAACUGCUAACUUGCGAGCAAGAAGGAGCCAGCCAGAGCCCAUGUGUGGAGCAGAAUCCUAUUACUGACACUAGCAUAUUUGGCCAUGCAUGAUAGCAAGCUGAUAAACGUUGCUUUCUCAGAGCACAGGGCACUGAUGUUAUUGCUAACCAUCCUAUUUUGGAUUGCAUUUCGUGGAACAUUGUGAAGCAUUAACAUUGUCUGUUUAUGAGUACUACUUGGAACUGUGAAGAAAAGGGGUAACUUUGAAGCUUGUGCACAUACUCUGUUUUGCCCUCUUUCUUGGUGAACCAAGAGGUAAUUGUUGCAUUCUGUCAUCUCAUGCCACACCACUUGAUGAUUUCCUACUUUUAAAUGUAGACCAUGAUAGCAUAACUCUUUCCUCAAUUAAAAAAGAACAAAAAACCAAAACCAAAUCACAA